UUAACAAAAACAUGUCUUUUUGAGUUAUUUUUAAAGUCUGACCUGCCCACUGAAAUUUUUAAAUGGCCGCAGUAUUUUAACUGUGCAAAGGUAGCAUAAUCAUUAGUCUUUUAAUUGAAGGCUGGUAUGAACGGUUGGACGAGGUAUAAGCUGUUUCAUAUAAAUUUAUAAUAGAAUUUUAUAUUUUAGUUAAAAAGCUAAAAUAUGGUUAAAAGACGAGAAGACCCUAUAAAUCUUUAUAUUUUAUUUUGUUUAAAUUUUUUAGAUUGUUUUUGUUUUUAUAAUUUAAAAUAUUUUGUUGGGGUGAUAUUAAAAUUUAAUGAACUUUUAAUUAUUUAAAAUCAUUAAUUUAUGAGCUAUUGAUCCAUUAGUAGUGAUUAUAAGAUUAAGUUACUUUAGGGAUAACAGCGUAAUUUUUUUGGAGAGUUCAUAUCGAUAAAAAAGUUUGCGACCUCGAUGUUGGAUUAAGAUAUAUUUUUAGGUGUAGCCGCUUAAAUGUUAAGUCUGUUCGACUUUUAAAUUCUUACGUGAUCUGAGUUC
rnacentral:rRNA from 1 species